CAGCCCCACAGCAGCCCUCAAGUCUGAAAUGUAAAUGUAAUUCCUUAUAUAGACUGCAGCAGUUGGUCACAUACGCACGGAGAGCGGUGCGGGGGCCCCCGGCCAAACCGUUACCACCCAUUAUUAUACAAACAGUGCUCGGCCGGAACCUUGUUGCCAGGGGAGACGGGCGCUUUACGGCAGGACGUUUGAACGGCGGCGGGGGAAAAGUUACUGCCGCAGGUGUAACCAAGAGACAAACGGCUGCUGCAAGAGAGAGAUGCUGUUCCCACCGUGUGUGAAAUCUGCCAUUCCUGGGCUUUCUUUUAUCUUAGUUCCCACUUUACGCAGAGGAGAAGAGGUAUAAAAUUUUAUGCCCUAAAAAAAUAAAUUAAAAAAGAAAGGCGAGGGAUCCAUUUUUUACAGAUAAUAAAUAACUUUGUUUUGGCUUAAUAAACAUGUAAUGUAUUAACAAUGAAAACAGUAUCAUCAAACACUCCUAGUAUUUAUUUACUCUUGCCUUUCACGCUUCACUUCAGGCAAUAAAAUAAUUUAUUAAGUUUC